GCCAGUGUAGUGUAGUGGUUUGAGCAUAGGACUACAGCUCUUGAGAUCAGGGUUCAAUUCCCCACUUUAUCA